rnacentral:rRNA from 1 species
CCUACGGGGGGCUGCAGUCGAGAAUCAUUCACAAUGGGGGAAACCCUGAUGGUGCGACGCCGCGUGGGGGAAUGAAGGUCUUCGGAUUGUAAACCCCUGUCAUGUGGGAGCAAAUUAAAAAGAUAGUACCACAAGAGGAAGAGACGGCUAACUCUGUGCCAGCAGCCGCGGUAAUACAGAGGUCUCAAGCGUUGUUCGGAAUCACUGGGCGUAAAGCGUGCGUAGGCUGUUUCGUAAGUCGUGUGUGAAAGGCGCGGGCUCAACCCGCGGACGGCACAUGAUACUGCGAGACUAGAGUAAUGGAGGGGGAACCGGAAUUCUCGGUGUAGCAGUGAAAUGCGUAGAUAUCGAGAGGAACACUCGUGGCGAAGGCGGGUUCCUGGACAUUAACUGACGCUGAGGCACGAAGGCCAGGGGAGCGAAAAGGAUUAGAUACCCGAGUAGUC